rnacentral:rRNA from 1 species
UACGAAGGGUGCAAGCGUUACCCGGAAUUACUGGGCGUAAAGCGUGCGUAGGCGGUUUGUUAAGUCUGUUGUGAAAGCCCCGGGCUUAACCUGGGAAUGGCAUUUGGGACUGCAAGGCUUGAGUGCGGCAGAGGAGACUGGAAUUCCUGGUGUAGCAGUGAAAUGCGUAGAUAUCAGGAGGAAUACCGAUGGCGAAGGCAGGUCUCUGGGCUGACACUGACGCUCAUGCACGAAAGCGUGGGGAGCAAACAGG